GGGGCAUCGGAGACAGGUGGUGCAUGGUUGUCGCCAGCUCGUGUCGUGAGAUGUGGGGUUAAGUCCCGCAACGAGCGCAACCCUUAUAUUUAGUAGCCAGCAGGUGAAGCUGGGAACUCUAGAUAGACUGCCAAGGAUAACUUGGAGGAAGGCAGGGACGACGUCAAAUCAUCAUGCCCCUUAUGAUUUGGGCUACACACGUGCUACAAUGGCGGAAACAAAGGGAAGCGAAGCCGCGAGGCGAAGCAAAACUCAGAAAUACCGUCUCAGUUCGGAUUGUAGGCUGCAACUCGCCUACAUGAAGCUGGAAUCGCUAGUAAUCGCAGAUCAGAACGCUGCGGUGAAUACGUUCCCGGGUCUUGUACACACCGCCCGUCACACCAUGGGAGUUGGAAAUGCCCGAAGUCAGUGACCCAACCUGAAAAGGAGGGAGCUGCCGAAGGUGGAGCCAGUAACUGGGGUGAAGUCGUAACAAGGUAGCCGUAUCGGAAGGUGCGGCUGGAUCACCUC
rnacentral:rRNA from 1 species